GGCUGAGUAACGCGUGAGUAACUUGCCCUUUGGUGGGGUAUAGCCUCGAGAAAUUGAGGAUAAUCCCGCAUAAGAUCGGGGAAGGAUGAAAGCCUUCGGCGCCAGAGGAGAGGCUCGCGUCCUAUCAGGUAGUUGGUGGGGUAAAAGCUCACCAAGCCGAUGACGGGUAGCUGGUCUGAGAGGAUGACCAGCCAGAGGGGGACUGAGACACGGCCCCCACUCCUACGGGAGGCAGCAGCAGGGAAUCUUGGGCAAUGGGCGAAAGCCUGACUCAGCGACGUCGCGUGGGGGAAGAAGGCCCUUGGGCUGUAAACCCCUUUUCCAAGGGAAGAGCGGUACCUUGGGAAUAAGCCCCGGCUAACUACGUGCCAGCAGCCGCGGUAAUACGUAGGGGGCGAGCGUUACCCGGAAUUACUGGGCGUAAAGAGCGCGUAGGCGGCUGAGUAAGUCAUUUGUGAAAGCUCCCGGCUUAACUGGGAGA
rnacentral:rRNA from 1 species